CAGAUUUUCCCGUGAGUGAGUUUGGAAAGUUAAGCCUUACAAACUCCAACAUUCCAGUUUGGAGAGAAGGACUUUUAGAAACGGUAACCGGUUUCUCUGUACAUGCGAGAACUCUGCUUGGUGGGUCAUCCUUCCGUAUGUGUCAAAGCAGUACAUCAAGGGAUUCGUAUGCUCAGAUUUGAACAUUAACCUUAUGAAUGUAACCUUUAAGGAUAUUAGAUGUAAGGAGAAUUAGGUGGUUUGAUCAACCCUUACACGUAUGAUGUACCAUAGUGACCACAAAGCACGUUCACACCAACAGUAUGUUUUAUACUUUUCACUCUGAUAUAGGU
rnacentral:misc_RNA from 1 species